UACGUAGGGGCCAAGCGUUGUCCGGAUUUAUUGGGCGUAAAGAGCUCGUAGGCGGUUCGGCAAGUCGACGGCGAAAUCUCCACGCUCAACGUGGAGGCGCCCGUCGAUACUGCUGUGACUCGAGUCCGGUAGGGGAGUGUGGAAUUCCCGGUGUAGCGGUGAAAUGCGCAGAUAUCAGGAAGAACACCCGUGGCGAAAGCGGCUCUCUGGAACGGUACUGACGCUGAGACGCGAAAGCGUGGGGAGCGAACAGG
rnacentral:rRNA from 1 species